rnacentral:rRNA from 1 species
GACUUUUGGCAACGGAUAUCUUGGCUCUCGCAUCGAUGAAGAACGUAGCGAAAUGCGAUACUUGGUGUGAAUUGCAGAAUCCCGUGAACCAUCGAGUCUUUGAACGCAAGUUGCGCCCGAAGCCUUUAGGUCGAGGGCACGCCUGCCUGGGCGUCACG